UGUUCUUCUUCCUCCUCAGAUUCUCUUUCACUAAACAGAAACAAAGAUGGUUUUGACAAAAACCGCAACGAAUGAUGAAUCUGUCUGCACCAUGUUCGGAUCUCGCUAUGUUCGCACUACACUUCCCAAGUAAGUAAAUUAACCAAAUGACUAUUGAAAACAUUUUGAAUACUUUGCUUCUUAAUGUUGAUGUAUUUUAUUUAAUUGAUUGAAAAAAGGUAUGAGAUUGGUGAGAAUUCGAUACCGAAAGACGCUGCGUAUCAGAUCAUAAAAGAUGAGCUGAUGCUUGAUGGUAACCCAAGGCUUAACCUAGCUUCUUUUGUGACUACAUGGAUGG
rnacentral:lncRNA from 1 species